GUUAAAAAGCUCGUAGUUGGAUUUCUGUAGUGGGAUGCCGGCCGGGUUCUCUGAACUUGUAGCUAGGUUAUCUUGCUGCAUCUUGUCGUAAUUCUCACUGGCAUUAAUUUGUUGGUGUAGAGGACCGACUCGUUUACUUUGAGAAAAUUAGAGUGUUUAAAGCAGGCUAUAGCUUUGAAUAUGUUAGCAUGGAAUAAUAAUAUAGGACUUUACGUUCUAUUUUGUUGGUUGUUCGAGGACGUAAGUAAUGAUUGAUAGGGACAGUUGGGGGCAUCAGUAUUCUGAAGCGAGAGGUGAAAUUCUUGGACCUUCGGAAGACUAACAACUGCGAAAGCAUUUGCCUAGGAUGUUCUCUUUAAUCAAGAACGAAGGUUGGGGGAUCGAAGACGAUCAGAUACCGUCGUAGUCUCAACUAUAAACUAUGCCAACUAGGGAUGGGUUGAUGUUUAAUUACGACUCAAUCCGCACCUUAUGAGAAAUCAAAGUAUUUGGGUUCCGGGGGGAGUAUGGUCGCAAGGCUGAAACUUAAAGGAAUUGACGGGAGGGCACCACCAGGAGUGGAGCCUGUGGCUUAAUUUGACUCAACACCGGA
rnacentral:rRNA from 1 species